rnacentral:tRNA from 1 species
GGGGAUGUAGCUCAAUUGGGAGAGCGCUGCCCUUGCAAGGCAGAGGCUGGCGGUUCGACCCCGCUCAUCUCCACCA